UAACACGUGAGCAACCUGCCCUAUACAACGGGAUAACACAGAGAAAUUUGUGCUAAUACGGUAUAAGACCACAGUAUCGCAUGAUACAGGGGUAAAAGAUUUAUCGGUAUAGGAUGGGCUCGCGACCCAUUAGCUAGUUGGUGAGGUAACGGCCCACCAAGGCAACGAUGGGUAGCCGACCUGAGAGGGUGAUCGGCCACACUGGGACUGAGACACGGCCCANACUCCUACGGGAGGCAGCAGUGGGGAAUAUUGGGCAAUGGAGGCAACUCUUACCCAGCAAUGCCGCGUGAAUGAAGAAGGUCUUCGGAUUGUAAAGUUCUUUAAUUGGGGACGAAAAAAAUGACGGUACCCAAGGAAUAAGCCCCGGCUAACUACGUGCCAGCAGCCGCGGUAAUACGUAGGGGGCAAGCGUUGUUCGGAAUGACUGGGCGUAAAGGGUGUGUAGGCGGUGUAGCAAGUUAGAAGUGAAAUACCUAGAGCUUAACUCAGGUGCUGCUUCUAAAACUGCUAUACUUGAGUGCAGUAGAGGAAAGUGGAAUUCCUAGUGUAGCGGUGGAAUGCGUAGAUAUUAGGAGGAACAUCAGUGGCGAAGGCGACUUUCUGGACUGUAACUGACGCUGAGGCACGAAAGUGUGGGGAGCAAACAGGAUUAGAUACCCUGGUAGUCCACACUGUAAACGAUGGAUACUAGGUGU
rnacentral:rRNA from 1 species